GUGAAUCAUCGAAUCUUUGAACGCACAUUGCGCCCUUUGGCAUUCCGAGGGGCAUGCCUGUUCGAGCGUCAUGAUCAAACCUUCAAGCCUUGCUUGGUAUUGGGCUUUCGUCUCUCCUGCCUGUGUGCAGGUAAGUGGCGUGCCUGAAAGUCACUAGCAGUGCCUCAAUAGACUCAAGCGUAGCAGACUGUACUCGCUUUGGAGGCCCUUUGUAGAGACACUGUUAACAAAACAAUCAUGUUGGACCUCGGAUCAGGUAGGGAUACCCGCUGAACUUAAGCAUAUCAAUAAGCGGAGGA
rnacentral:misc_RNA from 1 species